rnacentral:rRNA from 1 species
UUGGAAAAUGGGGGCAACCCUGAACCAGCCAUGCCGCGUGUGUGAAGAAGGUCUUCGGAUUGUAAAGCACUUUAAGUUGGGAGGAAGGGCUCUAGGCUAAUACUCUGAAGCUUUGACGUUACCAACAGAAUAAGCACCGGCUAACUCUGUGCCAGUAGCCGCGGUAAUACAGAGGGUGCAAGCGUUAAUCGGAAUUACUGGGCGUAAAGCGCGCGUAGGUGGUUAAGUAAGAUAGGUAUGAAAUCCCCGGGCUUAACCUGGGAACUGCUUUCAUAACUGCUGAGCUAGAGUACGGUAGAGGGUAAUGGAAUUUCCUGUGUAGCGGUGAAAUGCGUAGAUAUAGGAAGGAACACCAGUGGCGAAGGCGACUACCUGGACUGAUACUGACACUGGGGUGCGAAAGCGUGGGGAGCAAAC